rnacentral:rRNA from 1 species
AACGAACGCUGGCGGCAUGCCUAACACAUGCAAGUCGAACGAGACCUUCGGGUCUAGUGGCGCACGGGUGCGUAACGCGUGGGAACCUGCCUUUAGGUUCGGAAUAACAGUGAGAAAUUACUGCUAAUACCGGAUGAUGUCUUCGGACCAAAGAUUUAUCGCCUUUAGAUGGGCCCGCGUUGGAUUAGCUAGUUGUGGGGUAAAGGCCUACCAAGGCGACGAUCCAUAGCUGGUCUGAGAGGAUGAUCAGCCACACUGGGACUGAGACACAGCCCAGACUCCUACGGGAGGCAGCAGUGGGGAAUAUUGGACAAUGGGCGAAAGCCUGAUCCAGCAAUGCCGCGUGAGUGAUGAAGGCCUUAGGGUUGUAAACCUCUUUUAGCAGGGAAGAAGCGAAAGUGACGGUACCUGCAGAAAAAGCACCGGCUAACUACGUG